UACUCGACUUAUAAAUAUUGGGAAGAUAUAAAACACAUCAUCUUUAUCUAUGUUAUUCCUUUUUAUCAUACAUCAUAUUCAUUACUUCUAUUUCAUCUCUUCCUUUUUGGUUGUUUGAUGGAUGUCUGCGCUAUGUAUUUCUCUACGAAAUCUUUUCAUCAACAUCAAUCUCUCUCAUGUAUAUGAUACAGCACACGCAUAGAUACAUACACACACUUAUGUAAAGAGACAUAUGGGACCAUUUCACUGCGCUUAAAAUUUGAUCUUUAUCGUGGACGACAGGAUCCGACUCUGCCGCUUGACACCUCCCUCUCCAUAUCGAUUCUUCAAACUUUUUCUCAUCAAUCUUCUUAUUCCUUCCUCACUCAUCACUUUUUCUCACCUUAAUCACUCUCUCUUCGUUCCAUCUCAAUCUCUCAAACAGUAACUAACUAAGUAAGUACUAUACUCUCAUCACUCUCAUGGAAAUGGAUGAUCAUCAAAAUCAUCACCACCACCAUCAACAGCAACAACAACAACAACAGUACUCUGAUCUCAGGUACACUCAUUUCCCCUCUAUACCACCACAGCCCACGGCGGAGCUCUUCCCCGCCGGCCACCCGAAUCUAACACCCGCCGCCGCCGCUGCAGCACACCAUCACUAUGAGAUGAUGAUGUUUGGUCGUGAUAUAAUGCCUCGUUGCCUUCAUGACUUUGCCUCCACUGAUUCUGCUGCUGUUGCUGCUGCCGCCGCCAUCAACACUAACAUGACCUCCGCCACUCCAGCCACCACCAACAGUGCUUCAACUCCGCCACUUAGUGGGUUGGAGGCUGAGGCUGCGGUUGACGCCUCCACUGGAAGAUGGCCAAGACAGGAGACUCUUACUCUUCUUGAGAUCAGAUCUCGUUUAGACCCUAAAUUCAAAGAGGCUAAUCAAAAGGGUCCUCUAUGGGAUGAAGUUUCUAGGAUCAUGUCUGAAGAACAUGGAUACCAAAGGAGUGGGAAAAAGUGCAGGGAGAAGUUUGAGAACCUAUACAAAUAUUACAAGAAGACAAAAGAAGGAAAAGCAGGAAGACAAGAUGGGAAGCAUUACAGAUUCUUCCGGCAACUUGAAGCCUUAUAUGGUGAGAACAGUAACAACACAGCCUCACUUCCAGAAACCAAUUUUGGCGGCACCACCGUCCGGUUCCAAACAAGCAACAACCACACCCUUUCUCAAACAAACCAAGACAUGUUCCAUUCUCAUCAAAAGCACUGUGAUAGCCUCAGCCUCACAAACUCCACUGACUUUGACUCCACAUCAUCAGAGGACAAUGAUGAUCAUAGCAAUGUGGGACUCAAGGACAAUGAUUCCAUGGAGAAGAGGAGAAAGAGGAGAAGCUGGAAGGUGAAGAUAAAGGAUUUCAUUGACUCUCAGAUGAGGAAGCUGGUGGAGAAGCAAGAGGAGUGGUUGGAAAAACUCACUAAUACACUGGAGCAGAAGGAGAAGGAGAGGGUUUUAAGAGAAGAAGAGUGGAGGAGGCAAGAAGGAGAAAGGUUGGAGACGGAGCACAAGUUUUGGGCUAAAGAGAGAGCAUGGAUUGAAGCAAGAGAUGCUGCUUUAAUGGAAGCUUUGCAAAAGCUAACAGGAAAUGAAGUAGUUAUAAAGACUCAAUCUCAUCAUGAGGGUAUAAUGGGAACUGGCAUAAUUCAAAACCAGAAUAAUGAAGAUGCUGAAAGCUGGCCAGAAUCUGAGAUCACAAGGCUUGGACAGUUGAAAACUGAGAUGGAGGCAAGGAUAAGGGAAAGUGGGUGUCCAGAAGAGGUUAUGUGGGAGGAAAUAGCUACCAAAAUGGCUUGUUUUGGAUAUGAAAGGACUCCUUUGAUGUUCAAGGAGAAAUGGGAAAGUAUGAGCAACUGUGCUAGGAAUAUUGCCAAGGACAUUGGAAACAAGAAGAGGAAGGAAAACUCAAGAAGUUGUUUUUACUUUGAUAAUAACAAUGAUCACCAGUCUUCUCUAUAUAACCAAGGAGGUGCCUUUUGUGAUGUCAAUGAUCAAAGGCAAGGGACUGGGAGGCUGCAAACAAAUGAUGGUUCUUCACCUUCUAAUUCUAAUGUUGGAAAUGUUGUUGGGGCUGAGAGCUGCUUCCCCUUCUUGAUGAGUGAGGGGGGAAAUUUGUGGGAGAACUACAGCUUAAAGAUGAACAAAGCAAACCAAAACUAAUUAGUGCAUGCUUGGAUACUCGGUAGAUUUUUCAAGUUGGAAGAAAAAUUGAUUCUGUAUGAAGUUGCUUCUAUUAACUUUUGUCGGAGCAAAAUUUAUUUUGAAAGAUCUGAACUCUAUGAGUGAACUAAGGUUGACUCGUAUGAGGCAUUAAUGUUUCACAGCCUUUUAUGUAAGAUGAUCUCACAUUUAUGUGAAAAAUAAUGUGUUCAAGCCACAAGUUUAAUGAGAGGGAGAGACAUGUUGGCAAUAUCAUUGAAGUGUUGGGGUAUGGAUAUAUGACACUAAUUCAGGUGAGUUUUCUCUCCAGCCAGAUUUCUUCUAUGCGUGUGCAAAUGGAAUUGCAAUUGUUUUACUUCACAUGUUUCCUUACUCCUCUGGCAUGUUUCUUUUUGUGUAAGUUUGGGAUAUUGAACAGUGCAGGCCUUUAGAGUUUAUUUGCUGAAGGCGUGUAAUUAAGGUAGCAAUUUCCUUAAUAUUUUAAGGAAUGGAGAGAGAUUGAUGUAUUAACGGAUACUGUUUAAGCAAUGGAUUUUUUUUUGUUUUUUGAAACUUGCAAUGGAUAUUGUUACUACCAUAUAAAAAUAGGCCUAAAUUUUUUGUUUGUGAAAGAUCGUUUGAAUUAUAGAACAAGCAUUUAUUGAUACUUACUUGUCCAGAUUAGGGGACUAAUGAAUAGUAACAGCUCUCGUGCGUGUGUUUUUUCUGUUUGUCUUUUCUUUGCUUGACUUUACUUUGCAAUUGAUCUGCAAGCAGAUUUCAGCAAUUUAAUUUAC